rnacentral:rRNA from 1 species
GAUGAACGCUGGCGGCGUGCCUAAUACAUGCCAGUCGAGCGAACAGACGAGGAGCUUGCUCCUCUGACGUUAGCGGCGGACGGGUGAGUAACACGUGGAUAACCUACCUAUAAGACUGGGAUAACUUCGGGAAACCGGAGCUAAUACCGGAUAAUAUAUUGAACCGCAUGGUUCAAUAGUGAAAGACGGUUUUGCUGUCACUUAUAGAUGGAUCCGCGCCGCAUUAGCUAGUUGGUAAGGUAACGGCUUACCAAGGCAACGAUGCGUAGCCGACCUGAGAGGGUGAUCGGCCACACUGGAACGGAGACACGGUCCAGACUCCUACGGGAGGAAGCAGUAGGGAAUCUUCCGCAAUGGGCGAAAGCCUGACGGAGCAACGCCGCGUGAGUGAUGAAGGUCUUCGGAUCGUAAAACUCUGUUAUUAGGGAAGAACAAAUGUGUAAGUAACUAUGCACGUCUUGACGGUACCUAAUCAGAAAGCCACGGCUAACUACGUG